rnacentral:rRNA from 1 species
UGAGGAAUAUCGGUCAAUGGGCGGCAGCCUGAACCAGCCAUCCCGCGUGAAGGAAGAAUGCGCCAUGCGUUGUAAACUCCUUUUUCAGGGGGAUAAAAUUCUGUAUGUAUACAGGACUGAAGGUACCCUGAGAAUAAGCAUAGGCUAACUCCGUGCCAGCAGCCGCGGUAAUACGGAGGAUGCGAGCGUUAUCUGGUCUUAUUGGGUUUAAAGGGUGCGUAGGCGGAAUAAUAAGUCAGUAGUGAAACCCUGCAGCUUGACUGUAGA